rnacentral:rRNA from 1 species
AUUGAACGCUGGCGGCAGGCCUAACACAUGCAAGUCGAACGAGUGGCGGACGGGUGAGUAAUGUCUGGGAAACUGCCCGAUGGAGGGGGGUAACUACUGGAAACGGUAGCUAAUACCGCAUACCAUCGGAUGUGCCCAGAUGGGAUUAGCUAGUAGGUGGGGUAACGGCUCACCUAGGCGACGAUCCCUGGCUGGGCUGAGAGGAUGACCAGCCCCACGGGAACUGAGACCCGGUCCAGACUCCUACGGGAGGCAGCCGUGGGGAAUAUUGCACAAUGGGCGCAGGCCUGAUGCAGCCAUGCCGCGUGUAUGAAGAGGUCCUUCGGGUUGUAAAGUACUUUCAGCGAGGAGGCGUUACUCGCAGAAGAAGCACCGGCUAACUCCGUGCCAGCAGCCGCGGUAAUUC